rnacentral:rRNA from 1 species
CCUACGGGUGGCAGCAGUGGGGAAUAUUGCACAAUGGGGGAAACCCUGAUGCAGCGACGCCGCGUGAGUGAAGAAGUAUUUCGGUACGUAAAGCUCUAUCAGCAGGGAAGAAAAUGACGGUACCUGACGAAGAAGCCCCGGCUAACUACGGGCCAGCAGCCGCGGUAAUACGUAGGGGGCAAGCGUUAUCCGGAUUUACUGGGGGUAAAGGGAGCGUAGACGGCAGCGCAAGUCUGAAGUGAAAUCCCAUGGCUUAACCAUGGAACUGCUUUGGAAACUGUGCAGCUGGAGUGCAGGAGAGGUAAGCGGAAUUCCUCGUGUAGCGGUGACAUGCGUCGAUCUUCGGAGG